CAACACCAACGGGAAUAAAGCGUGACCGAAUACGUUAUCCUCUGCUUCUUCCCUUCCACUCUCCGCUCUUUCCCCUUCUCUCCCCUCUCCGUCAAACCCUACUUUUUUGCAAGCAGAUCUCUCGUCUUAAUGACACUGACAUCCUCGUCUUAAUUCCUCGAUCGAUUAAUCUCGAUUGCGAAAUCCUUGCGUGAUCGAAUUGCCGGAAUCCUUGUUAUCAUCUUCUUCUUUCGUUACGGUGAGUCGAUGAUGUCUUCGUGAUAUUGAGUGUGGGGCUUCGCUGUUCUUGUUGGACCCUCUUUUUCUUUGGACAGGGUUUGAGUCGGGAGCGUUGCGGUCGCUCCUGUUUCUGAUCUCCGUCGGAUGGAGCCUCGCGUGGGGGACAAGUUCCGCCUUGGUCGCAAGAUCGGGAGCGGUUCCUUUGGAGAGAUCUAUUUAGGAAUUAAUAUCCAAACAAACGAAGAGGUUGCCAUAAAGCUCGCUUUCUACUGUUCCAUCAUACAAGACAAAGAUGUGCAUCUAUUACGGAAAGAAGAAAUCUUGGAAUACUGUCAAGAAAAUGCCACAUGAGUCAUCUGGUUUUAGUUAUCUGAUGCAAGCUCAUUUCAGGUCACGUCACAAUCGAGGUCAUGCCACGCUACAGUCAAGUCAGUAAGGGGAGCACCCUCACACACUGAGCCAAAGAUCAUACUAAGACGCUGCUCGGUAUGUCCCGACCCGGUAAGCCCGGGACGGCGGCCGCAUAAGUGUACCGUCUCAUCUCUCGAGGAUCGAUCGUCAUGCCAAAUCCGCGUACGAUCAACCCUCGUACAAUAGUAUAAAAGCUCAUGGCAGCAUCUGGCCCAAGGGGAAAAAAGGAAAAAAGAGAACUUCACACUGAUUGAUUGAUUGAUGGGUCA